UCCUGCACGGAGCUCUGGCCCAGCCUGGCCCAGGAGGAGAAAGGGGGAUGGGUAGUGACUGGGUGGUGGUGGGCUUGGCCUGGUGGGUGGGCAAGGUUUCUACAUCUUUAAGGAAAAGAGGAAUCCGAUUUCAAAUUCGAUAAUACUUCUGACAUUGUCUCUCUUUCCUCGACCGUGUGAGUUCUGGGUAUUCAUUGGUUUGUCACUGUGUUUCACACACCAUUGGCAGAAACACCUUUGUUGGUUUUUGUUAUAAUGGUAACAGGGGUACUCGUAGGGGCUUUUAACUGGCCUCUUCCCACAGUGUGGAAUGCUGUCUAUAAAAAUUACAGAAUUAGUAGUCUGAAGAUAAACGCUUGGAGGUAAACACUUCAUAUCUGCCAGGUUGUGUGCUUGUGUGUGUGUGUGUGUGUGUGUGUGUUUUGAGCCAUCCCUUCCAUCAUUCUCUCCCCCAUUCUCAUCCUGUACCCUAAAGCUAUGAUCUGACUUCACAGCCAAAGAGAUAAAAGUAACAUUCUUCUCCUUGGCCCACCAUACCAGGACACAGCUGGAAAAUCAUUUUCAGAUCACAAGUUUUCAUCCCACAUUUCCAAUCCAAGAGAUAACAGACAGACUCCAUGUAAAAUAGCUUGAAUUAAAGAAUAAACCGUUGUGUGGCUAGACAUGUCCAUGAACUGCAGGCAGAAAUAGAUCAAGCACUAGAAAUUUUUUUUUUUCUUUUAAUCUAGAACAAGCCCCGCACUGCCUCCUGGUGUGGAUUACAUUUUACUUUUCGAAAGGAACCAUGGAUGGUAAAGCGAAAUCAUUUUGAUUCUUUUGGAUUUCUACUGUCGUAGGUGAAAGGUUUUAUUAAUCAAUUCUUUGAAAAACCAGCUAUACCCACUGCAAACCUACCAAAUGAGAGGAUGUUAAGCUGUUCAGUGGGUUGCACGUUUGGGGCCUUGUUUGGAAUUUCAAGCUCAUGUUACGGGGACUGGCCCGUGGUUGCAAUUGUGUGUGUACACCAUUUAUCAGUAGGAUUGCUGAAGUGCUGAGGUGCCGGAAGGCGGAAACACUGGAGGAGACCAGCGCUGGUCUUUGGAUCAACAUUAAUUGCCAAUAAAGAGUUAGGAAAUUGAUCACAGGGAAGGGAAGCAUGUUAAUGGCCACCAGCUCAAAGGUUCAGCCCCUUUCAGUUACUGAUAACCUUGCCACGUCUCCAGAUAAAAGCCAGCCUUGUCACCCCCAGGCACCUGGCUGAGAGGUAAUAAAACUGUUGCCUUAUCUUCUAAGAGUGGAGUUGGUCCAACCUCAGUCCGAGGUAAUUACAGUAAACUGAAAUUGCCUGUCAUUUACAAAAAAGGGAAGGCGUAAGGCGGGAGAUGGUGUUUGUCUCUCUCCUUGGAUUUUAAAAAGAAAGCGAGCAAAACAGCCAGAAGUUUUCCAGGGAGUGAGAAAAACAGCCCGGCUUGGCCACGCUCUCCUGGGGGUAACGGAUUGCAGGCGGCUCAGGUCCCCGGGACGAUCUGAAAAAGAGGCUCAAGCUGAUGAAAAUCCAAGCAAUCUUCUUAGUCUGUCCUUUCUAAAUGUAAAUGAGAGUCGGAGCCCUGCUAGGGAGGGCAGGAAGUCUCAGUCUUACCCAGUGACUCAUUCAGUGCUGUUAGCUCCAGAAGCUGGAUAAAAAGUUUUAGCAAAAGCAGCAACAAAUCUACUUUAAAUACUAGCACAGUAAGGAAAUUCCUCUCUUUCAGGCCGAAUGCCAUCCACACAAUAGAGCUCCUGUCGACAUCUCAUUUACAAUCUACCCCCAGGACACAGACAGGACCAUUUCCAUAAACCCGGCUCAGAAACACCUAUUGUUCAAAAUCUUCAACUAGCCACAGGCUACCACCACUCCCUAUUGUUUUGUAAAAUAAAAGAUUUAGAAGGAGCCAGAUUGGGACCUGGAAGCUCUGAAAAGAGGAAGGAAAAAAGUCCCUUUGACCCGGUGCUGUUGGAGAACGUGCGUGAAGAAUAAAGUUAAUGGAUUUUCGUUUUUACAAGAAGUGCAUAAGCAAUGCCCGCUCCCUUCCUGAACUCGUGAUCGGGGAUUCUAAAAGCGGUGCCAACUUUGUAAAGAAGUUAACUCCUGCCAACGAGUUUGGUACCUGAAAAGUCAAAGGCUCUACUUACCCUAUUCUCUGUCUUACAAAAACCCUGAUGGCAGCCACAGCAAAGCACCAGCAGCCAGUAAGCCGGGUGUACCCCUGCUCCUAUGCAAAAGGCCUGUGAAACUCUGAAGCUAUACUUGUACACAGAUGUGAUCCGGUGAUGCCAUCUCAUCUCCAUGGCAACCAGGUGUCUCAGUUAUCUACUCUGGUGCCAGGGCAUCGGAGACCUGCCACCACCAUGCUGUUGCCUGGUCACUCAGUUCCAAAUUUAUGAGAUUGCCUCAGUCCCUUAGGUAUUUGUUCUCUGAAAGAGUUGGAGACCCAGGUAAAGUUCGGAGCGGCUUGUAACCUGCCUGCAGCCAACGGCAUAUUCCAAAGGUGGCUAAAACAAUAUUGUCCAUCCAACAUGGUCUUCUUGAACAGGGGUCAGGAAAAUCUAUAAAGAGCUGUACAGGAAAUAUUUUUGGUUUUGCAGACCAUGCAGUCUCUGUCCCAAACAACUCAACUUUGACAUUGUGGCAAAGCCAGAGACAAUAUGUAAAUGCACGGACAUGGCUGCCUUGGAGAGUCCCUGGGACAUCUGCCUGCUUGGAGCCCUGAGCCACCACAGAAGCAUCCAAUUUCCCUGAGGCCGCCAUGCUGUAAGGAAGCCCAAGUCAGCCUCGUGGAAAGACCACAUGAAGAAGCCUGGAGACUCUUAGGAAGAGGGAGAGGUGUUCAGCAGCCCCCAGUGAUCCAACCCUCCACCCACCCAACUGCAAGCUCGGAAGAGACCCUGAGCCAGAACUACCCAGCCAAAGCUCUUCCCAAAUUCCUGCCCCAUAGGAACAGAAAUAAUAACACGAUUGCUGUCGUUUUAAGGCACUAAACAAAGAACUUAGAACACUGUCCCAAAACUAGUGAGUGGCAGAUACGGGAUUCAAACCUAGGCCGGCUUGACAUUCUAUUGCAUGAUCAUUACUCAUUCUAUUAAAUGAUUGCUUACAGCAGCCUUUUUAAAAAACGGUGCUAAAAUAUAUGUAACGUAAAACUUACCAUGUUAACCAUCUUUAAGUGUACAGUUCAAUAAGUAC